rnacentral:ncRNA from 1 species
UAGGAACCGUGAGAUUAAGCCAUCGCGGCAGGUGCUCACGUUAAGCCCACCGACUUUCAUGUCCCUAUCUACUAUCUAGCGAAACCACAGCCAAGGGAACGGGCUUGGAAUAAUUAGCGGGGAAAGAAGACCCUUUUGAGCUUGACUCUAAUCUGGCAGUGUAAGGAGACAUAAGAGGUGUAGAAUAAGUGGGAGAUAUUAGACUUCGGUUUUGGUAUCGACAAUGAAAUACCACUACUCUUAUUGUUUCCUUACUUACUUGAUUAAAUGCAACGUGUAUCAUUUCCUAGUCAUUAUACGGAUAUAAUUAUUGUCUUAUGGUAUUGGGUUUUGAUGCAAGCUUCUUGAUCAAAGUAUCACGAGUUUGUUAUAUAAUCGCAAACAAAUUCUUUAAUGAGAGAAUGCAUUUAUGUAUUAUUGAUUUAAGAAUUUGGUAUAACUCCAAUUACUCAAGUAUAAUCCAAUUCAAGGACAUUGCCAGGUAGGGAGUUUGACUGGGGCGGUACAUCUCUCAAAUAUUAACGGAGGUGUCCCAAGGCCAGCUCAGUGCGGACAGAAACCACACAUAGGGCAAAAGGGCAAAUGCUGACUUGAUCUCGGUGUUCACUACACACAGGGACAGCAAAAGCUCGGCCUAUCGAUCCUUUUGGUUUAAAGAGUAUUUAACAGAAGUGUCCGAAAGGUACAUAAGGGAUAACUGGCUUGUUGGGGGCAAACGUUUCA